rnacentral:rRNA from 1 species
UACAAUGCUGGCAACAGCGAUAAGGGAACCUCGCGUGCCAGGUUACAAAUCUGGCUGUCGAGAUGCCUAAAAAGCAUUUCAUAGCAAGGGCCGGGCAAGACCGGUGCCAGCCGCCGCGGUAACACCGGCGGCUCGAGUUGUAACCGUUAUUAUUGGGUCUAAAGGGUCUGUAGCCGGCCGGAUAAGUCUCUUGAGCAAUCUGGCAGCUUAACUGUGAGGCUUUCAGGAGAUACUGUCUGGCUCGAGGCCGGGAGAGGUGAGAGGUACUUCAGGGGUAGGGGUGAAAUCUUGUAAUCCUCGAAGGACCACCAGUGGCGAAGGCGUCUCACCAGAACGGACCUGACGGCAAGGGACGAAAGCUAGGGGCACGAACCG